rnacentral:tRNA from 1 species
AAGGGAGACCUAAUUCGGGUAUAAGACGAAAAAAUAGUAGUCGAAACCAAGAAUCAAUCCCAAAAGGUCGGAACGAGGUAUGUGGCUUUCAAACUAGGUUCUGGGUUCACACAAGACCUGAAUCAGGAACAAGGGCUAUUAGCUCAGGUGGUUAGAGCGCACCCCUGAUAAGGGUGAGGUCCCUGGUUCGAGUCCGGGAUGGCCCACCUGUACAGGUGGCAAAAAGAAAGAAAAGAAGCGAGGAAUCAGCACCUUAUCUUACUUACAUAGUAAGAGAGAAUGCUGGCUCUGAGUUCAGAGUCCAGAGGAACCUUGAAAACUGCAUAGAGCUAGGUGAAAAAGCCAAAAAAGAAGACCGCAA